UACGAAGGGGGCUAGCGUUGUUCGGAUUUACUGGGCGUAAAGCGCGUGUAGGCGGGCUUGUAAGUUGGGGGUGAAAUCCCGAGGCUCAACCUCGGAACUGCCUCCAAAACUGCAAGCCUGGAGCAAGAUAGAGGCAAGUGGAAUUGCGAGUGUAGAGGUGAAAUUCGUAGAUAUUCGCAGGAACACCAGUGGCGAAGGCGACUUGCUGGAUCUUUGCUGACGCUGAGACGCGAAAGCGUGGGGAGCAAACAGG
rnacentral:rRNA from 1 species